CCGAUGGAGCAGCAAGGUGAAGGGAGCAUCUAGAAUGAUAUACCUAGAACGUGCGCCACGAUAUAAUCUUAUCGUCGAUGUCAGACGACAAAUGUAUGGGCUUAUCGCCUAAAACACGAUCGGUUCUUGAGCAAGACCAAGCGCGCCGACAAGUCGGGCCGCAAGCGCGACCACCACGACCGCCACGACCACCACAACAAGAAGCGACGCGACUAGCAGAGGAUAAUAACUGGAUGGUGUACAGAAUCAUUGUUUGCCUUAUCGUCUCGCACAACGUUUGUUACUUUAUUCAUAAGUGUUUCUUUAUAAAUUUGAAAGCGUGUUACAAAUUCUAGGAAUUGAAAGACAGUAUAAGAUAGACGUUAAAGAAUUAUUUACUCAUUCGUAAAAAGGUAAAUGAGUAAAGAUAAAGAAAUGUCCUAAAGAGUUAAUUGCAGUGUGACUUGAUGGUAUUUUUUUUCCUAACGGGUAACAAACAGUGUUACUCGUUUUGGUGUGACUUUUUGGGAACAAGUAAAAAUUUAAACAAUGACAGCACAUUUUAGAACAGUUAGAUGAUGUUUUUUGGAAUAAACAAAUUACAAAAUGUUAUGAAACUUUGUAAUAAGGAUAAACUUAUUUCAAUUGAAGGUAUUCGAUAUUUAACUAAUAUUGUAUUCAAUAAUUUAUUUAGAAUACGCUUAUCAAUAAAAAUGACAUAAACUGCAUGAGGCGAAGGUUUAAGGUUAUGAUAAAAUAAGAAUGACGUUAAUAAAUCCAAGUUUCUUUAGACAUAGUUAAUUAAUUUUAAUUUAAAGAACUGUGCAGUCUUUUACAUGCCUUGUUAAUUGUAAAUAUUUGUUUCUUAAGAUUUUCUCUGAAAAAAUGUAUUGUUCAUUUUCCUAAACUCCAUUACACCAUAACGGCUGACAGCACUCAACUGUACUACAAUACAUUAAUAAUUACAAUUUAUUACAAGCUACUAUUACAGUUACUAUUUUAUUGUUGCUAACGUACAGAACAAUAAUGGAGUGAGCGGAAUGAAAUUGUGAAUGGUAGGUUGUUUUUCCUUAGGAUAUAAUUAAAUGUAUAGUAGGUAUAUGAUGUCUAGGUAUUUUGUACUAUAUGCGUUUCAGCUGAAAAGAGCUUGUAAGAAUAAUUUUAGUUAAUAAAGUUAUGUGUAAUCAAUAUUGUAUUUUAUUGCUCAACUUUUCCUAUAAAAGUGUAAAUUCCCAUAGCAAUUUGUAGUGUGUCAGUGGUUUUUUAAUAAAAAGGCAGGUUUACAUUUUGACAAUAUUUAUUGGAAUAACAAUACUUCGUAACAUACAUAAAUGUGAAAAAUAUGCGAAAAUUAAUACGAGAAGGCUGUACGCGCGCCACCAACUAUCUAGGCAGGCGACAACUACUUUUGGACACCCGUUGGACAUACAAAAAUACGCUUCUACGGUGACAACAAAAAUUGUGAACCUUCAUUGGAAUCCUAGGCCAAUACUCAAGUGUCACACCGUGACGAAGGACACCACACACCAAAAACGUUGCUAAAAAUAUACAUCUUCAUUAAAUUUCAAUAAGUGCGUUAGUGUCAUCAAAACCCAUAGUGAGAAGGCUGAUCUGAACACAAGUUUUCCAUACAAAACGUCGUUACAGUGUAAUAAAUACUGAACUUGAAUAGUUAAUAAUUUAAGGAGAUAAAAAUGUUAAAUUUAUUACAGUAUAUGCCAGCAUGAUGUACUAGUAUUAUUUAUUAUGACGUAUAUUGGAAUAUGACACCACCCAUCGACUGUUGUUACGUGCAGUUUUACAGUCAGCGUCAAAAAGUUCGUGACACCUAAAGUGGCCAGAAAGUCAACACAACCUUAUUCCA